rnacentral:rRNA from 1 species
AGUUUGAUCCUGGCUCAGGAUGAACGCUGACAGAAUGCUUAACACAUGCAAGUCUACUUGAAUUUGGGUUUUUAACUUAGGUUUGGGUGGCGGACGGGUGAGUAACGCGUAAAGAACUUGCCUCACAGCUAGGGACAACAUUUAGAAAUGAAUGCUAAUACCUAAUAUUAUGAUAAUAGGGCAUCCUAUAAUUAUGAAAGCUAUAUGCGCUGUGAGAGAGCUUUGCGUCCCAUUAGCUAGUUGGAGAGGUAACGGCUCACCAAGGCGAUGAUGGGUAGCCGGCCUGAGAGGGUGAUCGGCCACAAGGGGACUGAGACACGGCCCUUACUCCUACGGGAGGCAGCAGUGGGGAAUAUUGGACAAUGGACCGAGAGUCUGAUCCAGCAAUUCUGUGUGCACGAUGAAGUUUUUCGGAAUGUAAAGUGCUUUCAGUUGGGAAGAAAGAAAUGACGGUACCAACAGAAGAAGUGACGGCUAAAUACGUGCCAGCAGCCGCGGUAAUACGUAUGUCACGAGCGUUAUCCGGAUUUAUUGGGCGUAAAGCGCGUCUAGGUGGUUAUAUAAGUCUGAUGUGAAAAUGCAGGGCUCAACUCUGUAUUGCGUUGGAAACUGUAUAACUAGAGUACUGGAGAGGUAAGCGGAACUACAAGUGUAGAGGUGAAAUUCGUAGAUAUUUGUAGGAAUGCCGAUGGGGAAGCCAGCUUACUGGACAGAUACUGACGCUGAAGCGCGAAAGCGUGGGUAGCAAACAGGAUUAGAUACCCUGGUAGUCCACGCCGUAAACG